UACAGAGGGUGCGAGCGUUAAUCGGAAUUACUGGGCGUAAAGCGCACGUAGUCGGCUUGCCAAGUCGGGUGUGAAAUCCCCGGGCUCAACCUGGGAACUGCAUCCGAAACUGGCUUGCUAGAGUAUGGGAGAGGGAGGCGGAAUUUCUGGUGUAGCAGUGAAAUGCGUAGAUAUCAGAAGGAACAUCAGUGGCGAAGGCGGCCUCCUGGACCAAUACUGACGCUCAGGUGCGAAAGCGUGGGGAGCAAACAGG
rnacentral:rRNA from 1 species